CUUUUGGUCAGUCACCCUUUUUCAGCUCAAUUCACCUUAUAGGAUUAUUGCUGUGGGAAAAAUAUGAGAUAGAAAGUGUGUUGGCUAUGCUCGCCGUUUUGAAUUAUUUGUUAUUUGUAAAAAAUAAUAACACAGGAAACAAACAAACAUACAAACCCAGCAGUUGGCUCUGCAGAUUUUAUUAGGGAUUUCUAUUUGGAUAUCUUUAUAGAAAACCAAGCUGAAUUCCUGUGACUUCAUUUUAUUAAAAAAAACCCUUUUCUUAUUUGGCAUCUUAUUUGCUAUCUUGAGCUGUGGUGGCGCAGUGAUUAGAAUGCAGUAUUGUAGGCUAAUUCAGCUCGCUGCCAGGAGUUUGAUCCUCAAGGUUGACUCAUCCUUCCGAGAUCAGUAAAAUGAGGGCCCAAAUUGUUUGGUUUUUUUAAAUAAUUUUUUUAUUUAUAUCAAACAUAGAAAAAAACAAAAGAAAACAUAAAAUCUCCAUCAUUCAAAUACAAUCACAAACAGUAUGUCAAUCGGUUAAAAAUUUUUUGUGCUCAGUCUCUUAUCCCAAUUUUCAAAUUAAUUAGUUUCUCUCGUUUAACAGUUUUGUAUUCACUUAACCACUAUUGAACAGAAAGGUGAAUAAAAACAAAAGGAAAAUCACUUCAUAUAUUGUUAUCUUUACAUAUUCAUAUUUCAUUUUUUAUCUCCAUGUUUUGUUAUCUAACCAUUGACAAAACAAAUCCCAAAUUAAGUAAUAUUGUUUAUCUUCUUGUUCCCUAAUUUCAAAGAGGGCCCAAAUUGUUGGGGCCAAUAUGUUGACUCUGUAAACUGCUUAGAAAGGGCUGUAAAGCACUAUAAAGUGGUAUAUUAAUCUAGGUGCUAUUGCUAUUGUUAGGAUAUGGUGUAAGCCUAACAAGUUGUCCAGGCAAUAUAUGUGUUCUAUAACUUUAAAUGUAUUCUGUAACUUUAAGAUGUAAUGCUGAGUAAUUGUACUGAUGAGUCAUUGUAACUGACUGCUGACUGACUGCUGACUACAAUUAUCCUAAUUGUACUGUUGAGUCAUUGCACUGCUGACUCCACUUAUCUUAAGUGGAUAAUUACUAGUGUAAACUGUAUAUAAGGAGUGAGCCGAGCUAUAGUCAUUGUUGCUUGACUUCUUGCUUGACUUGUUGGUUGGAACUGUUACUGUCGUGUGUGGAGAAGUGGAUGGAUCUGCUACCAUCGUGAUUUGUUACCAGUGUUGAAUUGCUGUUUAUUACCUACUGCUGUUUGUAUGAUAAUGGCAGUGGUGGGUUGCCCCCGGUUCGCAUCGGUUCUACAGAACUGGUAGAAAAACUGGCAGGAGGCCCCGCUCAGUGAUCUUGACAUCAUGAAAAUGCUUCUGCGCAUGCGCGCGCGGCCCUGUUGCGAACCGGUAGUAAAGCCAUAUCAUUUUUAUAGAGGUUCAUCUACACCUUCAUUCGGGCAAAAAAAAUAUUCCUGUGUGAAUAUCCAAGAACAAGUCACCCAAGAUGAAUAACUGACUGCAACCCACAAAGGACAAGGGUGAUUAUUAAAGCAGAGCUCUGGAAUGAGACUUGUGGAAUAAUAAAUCACAAAGUAGAAAAGGAAAGAAAUUCAUUUUAUAUACCUGGCAAUUAUGAUCGUAUUUUAUCAUCAUAAAUUGUGAAUGCUAGAUUUCAUCUAUAAACUAUAUUACUGUGUUUUUUCCUUUACAGGUAUGUAUGGUUUUUAUAAUAUAUUUAAAAUAUUUUCACUUGGAGAAGCUGCAUUGAGAAAUAUCUAUAAAAUAAUAUCUAAUGAAUUCAUAAUGUAUUUUUUAAAAUCCAUUUAAAACCAUUAUCAUUACCCUAACUUUGCAUUAAAAACCCAAUAAAAGAAU